AGUGAACGCUGGCGGCAGGCCUAACACAUGCAAGUCGAGCGGCAGCGCGGGGGCAACCCUGGCUGCGCGCGGCGGACGGGUGAGGAAUUCGUCGGAAUCUGCCUCUCUGUGGGGGAGAACGAAUGGAAACUUACGCUAAUACUGCAUACGUCCUACGGGUGAAAGUGGGGGACCGCAAGGCCGCACGCAGAAAGGUGAGCCGACGAGCGAGUAGCUAGUUGGUGGGGUAAAGGCCUACUUAGGCGACGAUCGGUAGCUGGUCUGAGUGGAUGAUCAGCCACACGAGGACUGGGACACGGACCAGACGCCUACGGGAGGCAGCAGUGGGGAAUAUUGGACAAUGGGGGCAAGCAUGAUCCAGCCAUGCCGCGUGUGUGGAGAAGGCCUUCGGGUUGUAAAGCACGUUUGCCCGGAGAGAAACGCCUGGGGCUAAUACCUACGGGGGAUGACGGUACCGGAAAAAGAAGCACCGGCUAACUACGUG
rnacentral:rRNA from 1 species